rnacentral:rRNA from 1 species
AGCAGUCGCCGCGGUAAUACGGAGGGAGCUAGCGUUGUUCGGAAUUACUGGGCGUAAAGCGCACGUAGGCGGCUUUGUAAGUCAGAGGUGAAAGCCUGGAGCUCAUCUCCAGAACUGCCUUUGAGACUGCAUCGCUUGAAUCCAGGAGAGGUGAGUGGAAUUCCGAGUGUAGAGGUGAAAUUCGUAGAUAUUCGGAAGAACACCAGUGGCGAAGGCGGCUCACUGGACUGGUAUUGACGCUGAGGUGCGAAAGCGUGGGGAGCAAACAGGAUUAGAUACCCCCGUAGUCCCUGUCUCUUAUAC